CACAAGCGCCACAUCCGGAAUGCGACGCAUUCAAACGUAGUCUGAUGCUGCGAUGUGACUCCGACGUGCCAGGAUCCCGGAACUCCCAAGGUUACCUUUCAUUUCUUUGGGAAUUGUUCUGGGCCCUUUUGUAACCAUUUAAAACUUCGGACAAAUAUGCGCAAGCGGAGUCGUCACAGGAAGAAUCAAGCCGCAUGAAGGUGACCUUCCCGGACUUAUACCACAAUUGUGUCCAUCACGACACCCGAUAAACUCGAGUGCCCAAAAAAAAAGGAAAAUCUGUGACGAGCAAACUGCACAUCUCACAGCGAUGGAGU